UACGUAGGGGCAAGCGUUGUCCGGAUUUAUUGGGCGUAAAGAGCGUGUAGGCGGUUUGGUAGGUCCGCUGUGAAAACUCGAGGCUCAACCUCGAGACGCCGGUGGAAACCAUCAGGCUAGAGUCCGGAAGAGGAGAGUGGAAUUCCUGGUGUAGCGGUGAAAUGCGCAGAGUAUCAGGAGGAACACCGAUGGCGAAGGCAGGUCUCUGGGCCACUACUGACGCUGAGAAGCGAAAGCAUGGGGAGCGAACAGG
rnacentral:rRNA from 1 species